GUAGGGUGCAAGCGUUAAUCGGAAUUACUGGGCGUAAAGCGUGCGCAGGCGGUUUUGUAAGUCUGUCGUGAAAGCCCCGGGCUCAACCUGGGAAUUGCGAUGGAGACUGCAAGGCUUGAAUCUGGCAGAGGGGGGUAGAAUUCCACGUGUAGCAGUGAAAUGCGUAGAGAUGUGGAGGAACACCGAUGGCGAAGGCAGCCCCCUGGGUCAAGAUUGACGCUCAUGCACGAAAGCGUGGGGGGAGCAAACAGGAUUAGAUACCCUGGUAGUCCACGCCCCUAAGCGAUGUCUACUAGUUGUCGGGUUUUAAUUAACUUGGUAACGCAGCCAACGCGUGAAGUAGACCGCCUGGGAGUACGGUCGCAAGAUUA
rnacentral:rRNA from 1 species